CCUACGGGUGGCAGCAGUGAGGAAUAUUGGUCAAUGGCCGUUAGGCUGAACCAGCCAAGUCGCGUGAAGGAUGACUGAUCUAUGGUUUGUAAACUUCUUUUAUAUGGGAAUAAAGUUAUCCACGUAUGCUUCUUUGCAUGUACCCUAUGAAUAAGCAUCGGCUAACUCCGUGCCAGCAGCCGCGGUAAUACGGAGGAUGCGAGCGUUAUCCGGAUUUAUUGGGUUUAAAGGGUGCGUAGGUUGGUUUUUAAGUCAGCGGUGAAAGUUUGUGGCUCAACCAUAAAAUUGCCGUUGAUACUGGAAGACUUGAGUGUGUUUGAGGUAGGCGGAAUGCGUGGUGUAGCGGUGAAAUGCAUAGAUAUCACGAAGAACUCCGAUUGCGAAGGCAGCUUACUAAGCCAUAACUGACACUGAAGCACGAAAGCGUGGGGAUCAAACAGGAUUAGAUACCCUUGUAGUC
rnacentral:rRNA from 1 species